rnacentral:rRNA from 1 species
CGUAGGUAACCUGCCUGGUAGCGGGGGAUAACUAUUGGAAACGAUAGCUAAUACCGCAUAACAGCAAAUGUUGCAUGGCAUUUGCUUAAAAGGUGCAAUUGCAUCACUACCAGAUGGACCUGCGUUGUAUUAGCUAGUUGGUGGGGUAACGGCUCACCAAGGCGACGAUACAUAGCCGACCUGAGAGGGUGAUCGGCCACACUGGGACUGAGACACGGCCCAG